GCCAGGUAUGGUGUGGCUCAUGCCUGUAGUACCAGCUACUUGGAAGGCUGAGGUGGGAGAAUAGAUUGAGCCCAGGCUUUAGAGACCAGUCUGGGCAACAUAGCAAGACCCCAUUUCAU
rnacentral:sRNA from 1 species